rnacentral:rRNA from 1 species
UGUAAGCGUAUACCAAAGUUGUUGCAGUUAAAACGCUCGUAGUCGGAAUUUGGCAGUUCCGGAAGUGUGCACGUCGUGUGCGCACUUUGCGGGGACUGCUUUUGUGGUCUUGCGUAGGAUGAGGCACUUUCAUUAGUGAACGUCCUCACGCAACCACUCUUUACUGUGAGAAAAUCAGAGUACUCAAAGCAGGCAUUUGCCGUGAAUGUAUUAGCAUGGAAUAAUAGAAUAGGACUCGGUUCUAUUUUGUUGGUUUGUUGGGACUGAGUAAUGAUUAAGAGGGACAGUUGGGGGCAUUUGUAUUCCGGCGCUAGAGGUGAAAUUCUUAGAUUGCCGGAAGACAAACUGCUGCGAAAGCGUCUGCCAAGGAUGUUUUCAUUGA